GAUUGCGAGUCUCGAGGGUCUUCUGGUAGAGAGGAGGUAGGGAUCCUCUAGGAGUGGAAUCGUGAUCAGACCGGGGGCUCUCCACCCUCGGAUUCCUCUUUUCAGGGAAGACAGGAUGACUGGCCCAAGUGGCCCGCCCUACUGUCGGAUCUUGGAACUCCAGUGAUGCUCUUUCCAACUGUACUGACACUUGUGGCUGUUGCUGCUGCUGCAUGGCCUGCACUACUUCGGUGAGGUCUCUAACCUACUGAACCAGCAGGUCAAACUGCUCCAUACCGACCGUCGUUGUCGGAGGAGGAGGAGCCUGAAAACUGGAGGUGAGGUCGGAGCCUGAGAUCC
rnacentral:lncRNA from 1 species